rnacentral:tRNA from 2 species
GGGCUCGUAGUGAAGAGGCCUAUCACGCCUCCCUGUCACGGAGGAGAUCACCGGUUCGAAUCCGGCCGAGCCCGCCA